GAUGAACGCUAGCUACAGGCCUAACACAUGCAAGUCGAGGGACCGGCGCAUGGGUGAGUAAUACGUAUCCAACCUGCCCUUUACUCGGGGUUAGCCUUUCGUAAGAUAGAUUAAUACCCGAUGUAAAGGAUGGGGAUGCGUUCCAUUAGGUUGUUGGUGAGGUAACGCCUCACCAAGCCUUCGAUGGAUAGGGGUGCUGAGAGGAUGGCCCCCCAGAUUUGAAAUGAGACACGGACCAAACUCCUACGGAGGGGAGGAGAGAGGAAUAUUAGGCAAUGGGCGUUGGCCUGAACCAGCCAAGUAGCGUGAAGAGUGAAGGCUUAUGAGUCGUAAACUUCUGGUGUAUAAGAAUAUGUAUUAUAUGAAUAAGGAUCGGCUAACUCCGUGCCAGCAGCCGCGGUAAUUC
rnacentral:rRNA from 1 species